UACGGGGGGGGGCAAGCGUUGUUCGGAAUUACUGGGCGUAAAGGGCUCGUAGGUGGCCAACUAAGUCAGACGUGAAAUCCCUCGGCUUAACCGGGGAACUGCGUCUGAUACUGGAUGGCUUGAGGUUGGGAGAGGGAUGCGGAAGCUCCAGGUGUAGCGGUGAAAUGCGUAGAUAUCUGGAGGAACACCGGUGGCGAAGGCGGCAUCCUGGACCAAUUCUGACGCUGAGGAGCGAAAGCCAGGGGAGCAAACGGG
rnacentral:rRNA from 1 species